rnacentral:tRNA from 1 species
GCCCGAAUAGCUCAGUCGGUAGAGCAGGGGAUUGAAAAUCCCCGUGUCCCUGGUUCGAUUCCGGGUUCGGGNG